GACGAACGCUGGCGGCGUGCUUAACACAUGCAAGUCGAACGGAAAGGCCCUGCUUUUGUGGGGUGCUCGAGUGGCGAACGGGUGAGUAACACGUGAGUAACCUGCCCUUGACUUUGGGAUAACUUCAGGAAACUGGGGCUAAUACCGGAUAGGAGCUCCUGCUGCAUGGUGGGGGUUGGAAAGUUUCGGCGGUUGGGGAUGGGCUCGCGGCUUAUCAGCUUGUUGGUGGGGUAGUGGCUUACCAAGGCUUUGACGGGUAGCCGGCCUGAGAGGGUGACCGGCCACAUUGGGACUGAGAUACGGCCCAGACUCCUACGGGAGGCAGCAGUGGGGAAUAUUGCACAAUGGGCGGAAGCCUGAUGCAGCAACGCCGCGUGCGGGAUGACGGCCUUCGGGUUGUAAACCGCUUUCGCCUGUGACGAAGCGUGAGUGACGGUAAUGGGUAAAGAAGCACCGGCUAACUACGUA
rnacentral:rRNA from 1 species